rnacentral:lncRNA from 1 species
CUGCGUGCCCUUCGUUCUUCCUCGUCUCGAUCCCGACGACGCUCCGUUCGGCUCCGGCAAACCACAUCAAGUCGCGAUGGAGAUGAAGAAGGUCGCCUGCGCCGUCCUCGCCGCCGCCGCCUCCGCCACCGUGGUCCUCGCCGCCGAGGCCCCGGCGCCCGCCCCCACCAGCGCCUCCUCGGCCGCGUUCCCGGCCGUCGGCGCCGUGCUGGGCGCCUCCGUGCUCUCCUUCUUCGCCUACUACCUGCAGUAAAAUUAAAGGAGGAUCGGAGGGAGAGGCUGCUGGCUGCCAUUGCCUGUAUUCGGUUGGAUUCCGUUUAUAUAUAUAUUUAAGUACUUUAAUUUGGGUCUGAACAUGUCGAUUGAUCCAUUCAUUUUAUUUGCUUUGCCAUUUCUCCCUUUUCUGUUAAUUUCGAUAUGUAAAGAGGGGAGAAUGGGAGACACUAUUCGUUUGGACAUGACAAUUGGAAAUUAAUCAAUACCCAUUGUUAGUUAUGCUGUUGUCAUUUCAGCUUC